rnacentral:rRNA from 1 species
AGAGUUUGAUCAUGGCUCAGGACGAACGCUGGCGGUGUGCUUCACACAUGCAAGUCGAACGAGGUAGCAAUACCUAGUGGCGGACGGGUGAGUAACGCGUGGGAAUCUGCCCAAGGGUGGGGGAUAACUAGCCGAAAGGUUAGCUAAUACCGCAUAUGCCGUGAGGUAAAAGGAGUAAUCCGCCCCUGGAUGAGCCUGCGUCCGAUUAGCUAGUUGGUGGGGUAAAAGCCUACCAAGGCUACGAUCGGUAGCUGGUCUGAGAGGAUGAUCAGCCACAAUGGGACUGAGACACGGCCCAUACUCCUACGGGAGGCAGCAGUGGGGAAUUUUACGCAAUGGGGGAAACCCUGACGUAGCGACACCGCGUGAGCGAAGAAGCCCUUUGGGGUGUAAAGCUCUGUCAGCAGGAACGAAUAAAAUGACGGUACCUGCAGAGGAAGCAUCGGCUAACUACGUGCCAGCAGCCGCGGUAAGACGUAGGAUGCAAGCGUUGUCCGGAUUUAUUGGGCGUAAAGAGUUCGUAGGCGGUUUGUUAAGUUUGAUGUUAAAGAUCGGGGCCUAACCCUGGGAGUGCAUUGAAUACUGGCAGACUGGAGUGCAGUAGAGGCGAGUGGAAUUCCCAGUGUAGCGGUGAAAUGCGUAGAUAUUGGGAAGAACACCGGUGGCGCAGGCGACUCGCUGGGCUGUAACUGACGCUGAGGAACGAAAGCUAGGGGAGCAAAUGGGAUUAGAUACCCCGGUAGUCCAA